GACGAACGCUGGCGGCGUGCCUAAUACAUGCAAGUAGAACGCUGAAGGAGGAGCUUGCUUCUCCGGAUGAGUUGCGAACGGGUGAGUAACGCGUAGGUAACCUGCCUGGUAGCGGGGGAUAACUAUUGGAAACGAUAGCUAAUACCGCAUAAGAGUAGAUGUCGCAUGACAUUUGCUUAAAAGGUGCAACUGCACCACUACCAGAUGGACCUGCGUUGUAUUAGCUAGUUGGUGAGGUAACGGCUCACCAAGGCAACGAUACAUAGCCGACCUGAGAGGGGGAUCGGCCACACUGGGACUGAGACACGGCCCAGACUCCUACGGGAGGCAGCAGUAGGGAAUCUUCGGCAAUGGACGGAAGUCUGACCGAGCAACGCCGCGUGAGUGAAGAAGGUUUUCGGAUCGUAAAGCUCUGUUGUAAGAGAAGAACGAGUGUGAGAGUGGAAAGUUCACACUGUGACGGUAGCUUACCAGAAAGGGACGGCUAACUACGUG
rnacentral:rRNA from 1 species